UAGAAGAAGGCCUUCUGGGUUGUAAAGCCCUUUUGUUGGGAAAGAAAUCCUUCUGGCUAAUACCCGGGUGGGAUGACGGUUCCCAAAGAAUAAGCACCGGCUAACUUCUGGCCAGCAGCCGCGGUAAUACGAAGGGUGCAAGCGUUACUCGGAAUUACUGGGCGUAAAGCGUGCGUAGGUGGUCGUUUAAGUCCGUUGGGAAAGCCCUGGACUCAACCUGGGAACUGGAGUGGAUACUGGGCGACUAAAGGGGGGGAAAAGGAAGCGAAAUUCCUGGGGGAACAGUGAAAUGGGUAAAAAUCAGGAAGAACUUCCAUGGGGAAGGCAGCUACCUGGACCAACACUGACCCUGAAGCACGAAAGCGUGGGGAGCAAACAGGAUUAAAUACCCUGGUAGUCCACGCCCUAAACGAUGCGAACUGGAUGUUGGGGGCCUUUUGGCACGCAGUAUCGAAGCUAACGCGUUAAGUUCGCCGCCUGGGGGAGUACGGUCGCAAGACUGAAAACUCAAGGAAUUGACGGGGGCCCGCACAAGCGGUGGGAGUAUGUUGGUUUAAUUCGAUGCAACGGCGAAGAACCUUACCUGGCCUUGACAUGAGCGAGAACUUUCCAGAGAUGGAUUGGUGCCUUCGGGAAACUCUAAACACAGGUGCUGCAUGGCCUCCUCGCCCAGACAAAA
rnacentral:rRNA from 1 species